rnacentral:rRNA from 1 species
CAGCAGCCACGGUAAAACGAAGGGGGCUAGCGUUGUUCGGAUUUACUGGGCGUAAAGCGCACGUAGGCGGACUUUUAAGUCAGGGGUGAAAUCCCGGGGCUCAACCCCGGAACUGCCUUUGAUACUGGAAGUCUUGAGUAUGGUAGAGGUGAGUGGAAUUCCGAGUGUAGAGGUGAAAUUCGUAGAUAUUCGCAGGAACACCAGUGGCGAAGGCGGCUCACUGGCUCGAUACUGACGCUGAGGUGCGAAAGCGUGGGGAGCAAACAGGAUUAGAUACCCCCGUAGUCCCUGUCUCUUAUAC